GUUUUAGAUCUCUGCGAAGAAACAUUGAAAGAACACGUUCGUACUCAAAGAUUGGAAUAUCUGCAAGAUCAUGGUCCAAGAAUGAUUAAAGAAAUCUUAAGCGGAAUUGAAUUUCUUCACAGUCUAAAAAUUUUGCACAGAGAUCUCAAACCAUCAAAUGUCUUGGUUGAUCUCGAAGGUCACAUGAGAUUGGCAGACUUCGGAAUAAGUCGUGUUUUGAAUGAAGAAGAAACCACAGUUUAUACUGGUGCGAAGGGAACCCGAGACUGGAUGCCCACCGAAGUAAUUGAAGCAAUAGCUAAAAAAGAGAUAGGACGUUUUAAAAAAAAAUCCGACGUUCAGGUCGCAGGUAUGAUCGCUUUCUUCAUUUCAACCAAAGGUGAACAUCCUUUUGGUCCUGUGCUUGAACGAAUGACAAACAUCUCGAAAGGAAAUCCUGUUAACAUGGACAUGCUUCACGAUCUUCAAGUUCGGAAAUUUAUUUCAUGGUUGAUCAGUCAUAACAUUGAUGAUAGACCUUAUGCUGCUGAGGCGUUGGUGGAUCCCUUUAUGGUUCAUGUAACAAAUUCUCUCAGGAAAAUUACAUUACAAAAGUCCCGUACAUAGCAAAAUACUUUU